AGAGUUUGAUCCUGGCUCAGAUUGAACGCUGGCGGCAUGCCUUACACAUGCAAGUCGAACGGCAGCACGGGAGCUUGCUCCUGGUGGCGAGUGGCGAACGGGUGAGUAAUAUAUCGGAACGUACCCUAGAGUGGGGGAUAACGCAGCGAAAGUUGCGCUAAUACCGCAUACGAUCUACGGAUGAAAGUGGGGGAUCGCAAGACCUCAUGCUCAUGGAGCGGCCGAUAUCUGAUUAGCUAGUUGGUAGGGUAAAAGCCUACCAAGGCUUCGAUCAGUAGCUGGUCUGAGAGGACGACCAGCCACACUGGAACUGAGACACGGUCCAGACUCCUACGGGAGGCAGCAGUGGGGAAUUUUGGACAAUGGGCGCAAGCCUGAUCCAGCAAUGCCGCGUGAGUGAAGAAGGCCUUCGGGUUGUAAAGCUCUUUUGUCAGGGAAGAAACGGUGGACUCUAAUACAGAUCACUAAUGACGGUACCUGAAGAAUAAGCACCGGCUAACUACGUGCCAGCAGCCGCGGUAAUACGUAGGGUGCAAGCGUUAAUCGGAAUUACUGGGCGUAAAGCGUGCGCAGGCGGUUGUGCAAGACAGAUGUGAAAUCCCCGGGCUCAACCUGGGAAUUGCAUUUGUGACUGCACGGCUAGAGUGUGUCAGAGGGGGGUAGAAUUCCACGUGUAGCAGUGAUAUGCGUAGAGAUGUGGAGGAAUACCGAUGGCGAAGGCAGCCCCCUGGGAUAACACUGACGCUCAUGCACGAAAGCGUGGGGAGCAAACAGGAUUAGAUACCCUGGUAGUCCACGCCCUAAACGAUGUCUACUAGUUGUUGGGUCUUAAUUGACUUAGUAACGCAGCUAACGCGUGAAGUAGACCGCCUGGGGAGUACGGUCGCAAGAUUAAAACCCAAAGGAAUUGACGGGGACCCGCACAAGCGGUGGAUGAUGUGGAUUAAUUCGAUGCAACGCGAAAAACCUUACCUACCCUUGACAUGUACGGAAUCCCUGAGAGAUUAGGGAGUGCUCGAAAGAGAGCCGUAACACAGGUGCUGCAUGGCUGUCGUCAGCUCGUGUCGUGAGAUGUUGGGUUAAGUCCCGCAACGAGCGCAACCCUUGUCAUUAGUUGCUACGUAAGGGCACUCUAAUGAGACUGCCGGUGACAAACCGGAGGAAGGUGGGGAUGACGUCAAGUCCUCAUGGCCCUUAUGGGUAGGGCUUCACACGUCAUACAAUGGUACAUACAGAGGGCCGCCAACCCGCGAGGGGGAGCUAAUCCCAGAAAGUGUAUCGUAGUCCGGAUUGUAGUCUGCAACUCGACUACAUGAAGUUGGAAUCGCUAGUAAUCGCGGAUCAGCAUGUCGCGGUGAAUACGUUCCCGGGUCUUGUACACACCGCCCGUCACACCAUGGGAGCGGGUUUCACCAGAAGUAGGUAGCCUAACCGUAAGGAGGGCGCUUACCACGGUGGGAUUCGUGACUGGGGUGAAGUCGUAACAAGGUA
rnacentral:rRNA from 1 species